UAGUUUGAUUUCUACUGAGCACAGUAGUAAAUAUUUCAAACACUUUUUAUGAUUUUGACUCAUGGCAAGACCUAUUAUUGAUCCCAUGUUAUUAUAUAUACUGUUUAUAACAAAAUAACUCUUUGCUUUUUUUUACAGUUAAUGAAUGAUGGUGAAUGUGUUUCCUUUUUCUGGGUAACCCUACCAUGGUGGUAAAAAAAAAAUAAAAACUUUCUUUCAGUUUCCCAUCACAGCACUACGAGAGAUCAGGAUCUUGAAGUUACUAAGACAUGACAACGUAGUAAACUUGCUGGAAAUUGCUCGCACAAAAGGUCCACCACCCCCAGGGCUUCAGAAGCCUGCAAAAGCAACACCACACAUGUCCAGUCUUUCUACUUUCUUCUUGGUGUUUGAAUUUUGUGAACACGACCUGGCUGGCUUGCUCUCCAAUGUUAACGUAAAAUUUAAUCUUGGAGAAAUUAAAAAGGUAAUGCAGCAGUUGCUCAAUGGACUUUACUACAUUCAUUCCAACAAGAUUCUCCACCGAGAUCUCAAAGCUUCAAAUGUUCUUAUCACAAAAAAUGGAAUCUUGAAAUUGGCCGAUUUUGGUCUGGCCCGUGCAUUUAGUACUAGCAGACAAGGACCAAAUAGGUGUGUUAUUAAUUACAGAUACUUGUACAUUGGCCCAUUUAUAUAUACAGGUGUAUAUAUAUUUUUUAUUGUGUACUGUACUUUAUUAUAUCUGCAUGAAUUAGAUUUUCAUCAUUACAGUAUUGUAUAUAAAAUAUUGAGUUUGUUCUUAUUUUUAUAGAAUUACUAAUUAAUUAAUUUUAAUACUGUACUACACUUCCUAAAACCCAUUCCACUUGACUUGUUGAUUCAUCUGCUUGAAAGCUUGAGUAAAGCUUAUUUCAUGACCUUGCUAUCAGCAGCUGUAUUACUCGGCAACUUUGAAACCCAUGCCUAUGUUAAUUAAACAGUAUAGAAGCUCCUUAUGGCAUGCUGUAUUUAUAUAUAUGCAUAUUUUUUUUUCUUUUACAUUAGGGAUAGUCAUUGCCUACACUAACCACUUGGUUAAACAAUAAUCCUUAAAAUCAGAGGUCAGUUGGCUUGUAGACUUUGAUGGCUGGAGUUGGGUUACAGUAUUAUAAGUUCUACAAAGACAGUGAUUAUGUAUGAAUAAUGGUGAAAGUCUUGAAUGAUGAUGAAAGUUUUUUCUUUCUUUUUGGGUCACCCUACCUCGGUGGGAAGCUGCCGACGUGUUAAAAAAAAAAAGUUCUGAAGGCAACCUUGGCAUUAAAGAGCUUACAUUAUA